GUUGUAAAGCACUUUCAGCGGGGAGGAAGGCGUUAAGGUUAAUAACCUUGGCGAUUGACGUUACCCGCAGAAGAAGCACCGGCUAACUCCGUGCCAGCAGCCGCGGUAAUACGGAGGGUGCAAGCGUUAAUCGGAAUUACUGGGCGUAAAGCGCACGCAGGCGGUCUGUCAAGUCGGAUGUGAAAUCCCCGGGCUCAACCUGGGAACUGCAUUCGAAACUGGCAGGCUAGAGUCUUGUAGAGGGGGGUAGAAUUCCAGGUGUAGCGGUGAAAUGCGUAGAGAUCUGGAGGAAUACCGGUGGCGAAGGCGGCCCCCUGGACAAAGACUGACGCU
rnacentral:rRNA from 1 species